rnacentral:rRNA from 1 species
ACGGGUGAGUAAUACAUCGGAACGUGUCCUGUAGUGGGGGAUAGCCCGGCGAAAGCCGGAUUAAUACCGCAUACGCUCUACGGAGGAAAGGGGGGGAUCUUAGGACCUCCCGCUACAGGGGCGGCCGAUGGCAGAUUAGCUAGUUGGUGGGGUAAAGGCCUACCAAGGCGACGAUCUGUAGCUGGUCUGAGAGGACGACCAGCCACACUGGGACUGAGACACGGCCCAGACUCCUACGGGAGGCAGCAGUGGGGAAUUUUGGACAAUGGGGGCAACCCUGAUCCAGCAAUGCCGCGUGUGUGAAGAAGGCCUUCGGGUUGUAAAGCACUUUUGUCCGGAAAGAAAACGCCGUGGUUAAUACCCGUGGCGGAUGACGGUACCGGAAGAAUAAGCACCGGCUAACUACGUGCCAGCAGCCGCGGUAAUACGUAGGGUGCAAGCGUUAAUCGGAAUUACUGGGCGUAAAGCGUGCGCAGGCGGUCCGCUAAGACAGAUGUGAAAUCCCCGGGCUUAACCUGGGAACUGCAUUUGUGACUGGCGGGCUAGAGUAUGGCAGAGGGGGGUAGAAUUCCACGUGUAGCAG